GCCUGGGUGGCUCAGUUGGUGAAGCGUCUGACUUUGGCUCGGGUCACGAUCUCAUGGUUCGUGAGUUUGAGCCCCACCUUGGGCU
rnacentral:tRNA from 1 species